UACGUAGGGGGCAAGCGUUGUCCGGAUUUAUUGGGCGUAAAGAGCGUGUAGGCGGCCAGGGAGGUCCGUUGUGAAAACUCGAGGCUCAACCUCGAGACGCCGAUGGAAACCCCCUGGCUAGAGUCCGGAAGAGGAGAGUGGAAUUCCUGGUGUAGCGGUGAAAUGCGCAGAUAUCAGGAAGAACACCAAUGGCGAAAGCAGCUCGCUGGGACGUGACUGACGCUGAGGCACGAAAGCGUGGGGAGCAAACAGG
rnacentral:rRNA from 1 species